UACAAAUAAUACGGAAAAGUGCAAAGGAAUAAACUUUUCAUCAGUUUCCAUGUCUGGGCCGUGAAGAAAGGGAAAAAUGGGUAAAAUUUGUCCAAAACAACCACAGUGAAGAAACCUGGUUACCAUCCGAUAGAACUUGCGUCUGUUCAUUGCAUUUUCGCGAUGAGGAUAAAUAUACCACAAAAGCGGGAAGGCGUUUUCUAAAGAAGUCUGCUGUUCCUUGUAUUGAUGUUAGUAAUAAUAAUAAAAUUUUACGGAUUUGUAUAACAAAUAAAAUAUUAUUUUAGCCAUCACUAACAUUAUUAUUAUUAUAAUUUAUUUUAGCCGAAGGUGUGCUACAAUAGUACUGGAACAAUACAAGCAAUUUCUGAGCCGGGAACAUGUUCUGAGGAUGAUGAACUAAAUAAACACAAUUUUUACACGG